AACACCCUGCAAGGUGCGUGUUGGCAUCAACUAAUAUUUGAACCAACACUUAUUUGAUAGGGAGUCUGCGUUUGAGCGUGGUGUGCGGGCCUGACCCCGACGCGGGAAUCGCCGCGCCGCGGGACUCGAAGGUCCCCUAAAGCGCUGACAGGACGCCCACCUGUGUGCAACAGGUUCAAAUAGGUGGCGCCACACGGCCAAGCGGGGUCACA
rnacentral:other from 1 species